rnacentral:rRNA from 1 species
GGGGAAUAUUGCACAAUGGGCGAAAGCCUGAUGCAGCAACGCCGCGUGAGUGAAGAAGGUUUUCGGAUUGUAAAGCUCUGUUGCCAGGGAAGAACGUCCUGUAGAGUAACUGCUACAGGAGUGACGGUACCUGAGAAGAAAGCCCCGGCUAACUACGUGCCAGCAGCCGCGGUAAUACGUAGGGGGCAAGCGUUGUCCGGAAUUAUUGGGCGUAAAGCGCGCGCAGGCGGCUGUGUAAGUCUGGUGUUUAAUCCUGGGGCUCAACUCCGGGUCGCACUGGAAACUGGACGGCUUGAGUGCAGAAGAGGAGAGUGGAAUUCCACGUGUAGCGGUGAAAUGCGUAGAGAUGUGGAGGAACACCAGUGGCGAAGGCGACUCUCUGGGCUGUAACUGACGCUGAGGCGCGAAAGCGUGGGGAGCAAAC